GGGCCAUGAUCCAAAGGAACCGAAGCAGCUGAGGAAGCUGUUUAUUGGUGGUCUGAGCUUUGAAACCACAGAUGAUAGCUUAAGAGAACAUUCUGAGAAAUGGGGCACACUUACAGACUGUGUGGUAAUGAGAUAUUCCCAAACAAAACGUUCCAGAGGCUUUGGUUUUGUGACCUACUCUUGUGUUGAAGAGGUGGCUGCUGCAAUGUGUGCUCGGCCACACAAGGUUGAUGGGCGUGUGGUGGAACAGAAGAGAGCUGUUUCUAGAGAGGAUUCUGUAAAGCCUGGUGCCCAUUCAAUGGUGAAGAAAAUUUUUGUUGGUGGUAUUAAAGAGAUACGGAAGAAUAUAACCUGAGAGACUACUUUGAAAAGUAUGGCAAGAUUGAAACCAUAGACAUUAUGGAAGACAGGCAGAGUGGGAAAAAGAAGGUUUGCUUUUGUAACUUUUGAUGAUCAUGAUACAGUUGAUAAAAUUGUUGUUCAGAAAUACCACACUAUUAAUGGGCAUAAUUGUGAAGUGAAAAGGGUCCUUUCUAAACAAGAGAUGCAGUCUACUGGAUCACAGAGAGGCUGUGGAGGUGGAUCUGGUAGCUUUAUGGGUCAUGGAGGAAACUUUGGUGGAAGAGGAGACUAUGGUGGUGGAGGUGGUGGCAGCAGAGAUAGCUAUGGAGGUGGUGAUGGUGAAUAUAAUGGAUUUGGAGGGGAUGGUGGCAGCUAUGGUGGUCAUAUUGGUUACAGUAGUAGAGGAGGUUAUGGAGGUAGUGGACCAGAAUAUGGAAACGAGGGUGAUGGAUAUGGUGGUGGAGGAGGAGGAUACGAUGGUUAUAAUGAAGGAGGAGAUUGACUAUAGUGGUGGUGGAAACUAUAAUGACUUUGGAAAUUAUAGUGGACAGCAACAAUCAAAUUAUGGACCCAUGAAGGGGGGCAGUUUUGGUGGCAGAAGCUCAGGCAGUCCCUGUGGCAGCGGCUGUGGAUCUGGAGGUGGAUGUGUUGGAUAUGGUAGCAGAAGGUU
rnacentral:lncRNA from 1 species